rnacentral:tRNA from 1 species
GGGCCGUUAGCUCAGUUGGUAGAGCAGUUGACUUUUAAUCAAUUGGUCGCAGGUUCGAGUCCCGCACGGCCCACCA